UACGUAGGUGGCAAGCGUUGUCCGGAAUUAUUGGGCGUAAAGCGCGCGCAGGCGGUCCUUUAAGUCUGAUGUGAAAGCCCACGGCUCAACCGUGGAGGGUCAUUGGAAACUGGGGGACUUGAGUACAGAAGAGAAGAGUGGAAUUCCACGUGUAGCGGUGAAAUGCGUAGAGAUGUGGAGGAACACCAGUGGCGAAGGCGACUCUUUGGUCUGUAACUGACGCUGGAGGC
rnacentral:rRNA from 1 species